rnacentral:rRNA from 1 species
AGUGAACGCUGGCGGUAGGCCUAACACAUGCAAGUCGAACGGCAGCACAGGAGAGCUUGCUCUCUGGGUGGCGAGUGGCGGACGGGUGAGGAAUACAUCGGAAUCUGCCCAGUCGUGGGGGAUAACGUAGGGAAACUUACGCUAAUACCGCAUACGACCUUCGGGUGAAAGAGGGGGAUCGCAAGACCUCUCGCGAUUGGAUGAGCCGAUGUCGGAUUAGCUAGUUGGCGGGGUAAUGGCCCACCAAGGCGACGAUCCGUAGCUGGUCUGAGAGGAUGAUAAGCCACACUGGAACUGAGACACGGUCCAGACUCCUACGGGAGGCAGCAGUGGGGAAUAUUGGACAAUGGGCGCAAGCCUGAUCCAGCCAUACCGCGUGGGUGAAGAAGGCCUUCGGGUUGUGAAGCCCUUUUGUUGGGAAAGAAAUCUUUCAGGCUAAUACCCUGGGAGGAUGACGGUACCCAAAGAAUAAGCACCGGCUAACUUCGUG